CGCUCCGUCCUAGGGGAGUAGUCUCCCACGAGCGCCAUGCUCGUCCGGCACGUAUCAACAUACUUGGUCCUCAGACCAUGGUACGUGCGACCCGGAAUCCGCUCAGACGGAUCGGUGGUU
rfam:Pseudomonas syringae pv. actinidiae ICMP 19096 scaffold2759, whole genome shotgun sequence.